CACGACUACGAGUUUGAUCAUGGCUCAGAGCGAACGCUGGCGGCAGGCCUAACACAUGCAAGUCGAACGAACUCUUCGGAGUUAGUGGCGGACGGGUGAGUAACACGUGGGAACGUGCCUUUAGGUUCGGAAUAACUCAGGGAAACUUGUGCUAAUACCGAAUGUGCCCUUCGGGGGAAAGAUUUAUCGCCUUUAGAGCGGCCCGCGUCUGAUUAGCUAGUUGGUGAGGUAAAGGCUCACCAAGGCUACGAUCAGUAGCUGGUCUGAGAGGAUGACCAGCCACAUUGGGACUGAGACACGGCCCAAACUCCUACGGGAGGCAGCAGUGGGGAAUCUUGCGCAAUGGGCGAAAGCCUGACGCAGCCAUGCCGCGUGGAUGAUGAAGGUCUUAGGAUUGUAAAAUCCUUUCACCGGUGAAGAUAAUGACUGUAGCCGGAGAAGAAGCCCCGGCUAACUUCGUG
rnacentral:rRNA from 1 species